CCCUCCAGAUGUUUUGGACUACAAUUCCCCUCAUCCCUGACCACUGGUCUGUUAGCUAGGGAUCAUGGGAGUUGUAGGCCAAAACAUCUGGAGGG